rnacentral:lncRNA from 1 species
GAAACAUUUUGCACUGUGCUGGGGGAUUCUACCCACAUAAGUCAGCAUGUUACUUGCUAGAUAAAAGAGCAAUGAAUGGAGUACUUCAUUUUAAAUGCCGCAACUCAGCAAGAAAAAAAAAGUGUCUGGUAUCUUCCUGAACAACUACCUGGUAUUAUACAGGUGAGAUAAAUUGUGAUGCCACCAAAUGUCCUAUAUAUAAACGUAUGGACAUAUA